rnacentral:rRNA from 1 species
GAUGAACGCUGGCGGCGUGCCUAAUACAUGCAAGUCGAGCGGAAGGACGAUAAGCUUGCUUCUCUGUUGUUAGCGGCGGACGGGUGAGUAACACGUGGAUAACCUCCCUAUAAGACUGGGAUAACUUCGGAAAACCGGAGAUAAUACCGGAUAAUAUUUUGCACCGCAUGGUUCAAAAGUGAGAGACGGUCUUGCUGUAACUUAUAGAUGGAUCCGCGCUGCAUUAGCUAGUUGGUAAGGUAACGGCUUACCAAGGCAACGAUGCGUAGACGACCUGAUAGAGGGAUAGCCCACACUGGAACGGAGCCAGCGUCCAGACGCCUAAGGGAGGGACCAGUAGCGAAUCUUCCGCAACGGGGGAGAGCCUGACGGAGCAACGGCGCGUGAGUGAUGAAGACGUUCGGAUCGUAAAACUCUGUUAUUGGGGAAGAACAGAUGUGGAAGUAAACGUGCACAGCUUGACGGUACCUAAUCAGAAAGCAACGGCUAACUACGUG